rnacentral:miRNA from 1 species
UUAGGCAUUUGAUUUUUUGUUUCAGUCACUCCUGAAGAUAGCAGACAUUGAAGCAAAAAAUUAAAAGCUUUAU